AACGUGUAUGUCGUCUAUCACGUACCAUAGAAGUACAUGUGCGCAUGCGUAUUGAGAGAGCCUUCCUGUUCAGUGCGCGGUAAUGGUAUCAGGAUGGAGAACGGAGAGGUUUCCUUCUGAAUACCGCAGCUGUAGCAGAUCCGAGAGUACCUGGCGGACGUAAACAAAUCCAGCCAGCCAUGUUGGCGCAUGCGCAGUACUACAAACAACAACUGCAAAGAGCAGAACACCUUGGCCUGGAUUUCAGUGAGAUGGCAGAGCACAUUUACUAACCACAGCCAGCAUUUUGCCAAGAUGUCUGGCCUCCUGAGAUCCCCCCACACCCCCCCAGGGCUCGGCUGCUCAUAAUGAAUUUAAAAGCUUCUCGCCGGUUUGUACACACAGCCUCGAACACAGCUGCAGGCCAUUCUGCAGCUCUCAGCUCCAGCUCUUCAUCUGCUCUCCAACAUCAGUGGAGUCUCACUGUGGUCCCUCCACCCUCCUCCACUCUCCCCUUCUUGCAUCAUGCCUCCCCCACAUCGUCCUCCCGCUCUGGCUCUGGUAUGAUCCUGUGUUGCCUUCGUCUUUACUCCUGUUUCUUUAGCCAGCAGAAACACUCACAGAGAAAUCCACACCUUGUUGAGAAUUUUAAUAUAAAGCUGCUGCAGCCGGUGGACUAUUUGUCACGUCUUCAUCUUUGACUGGAGCAUCUAAUAUAAUCGAACAUUAGCUUGUGCUGUGCCCAAGGCCUCUUUUAGAUAUUAAUGCUAUGUUAAUUAUUGUCUGCAUUCAAAGUUUAAAUCCCAAAGUUAAAGAUUUUGUCAUGCAGAUUUUAAAAAUUGUUUUGCUUUUUGAGCGCGCUGUUGCUGCCUUUGAGAUGUAUCAUCUUGUUUUUGUGGGGGCCCCAGAAAUAAUUUAGAAGCUCUUCGCAGCACUGAACAUUUUUAGGAAAUAGUAAUGGAACAAAAUCACAAUGUUUGCUUGCAAAAACUGUCCCGCAGAAAACUCUUAAACUGUUAAAUGAUGCUGAGCGAAUGCCAACUCUUUGGGGCUCCUGGUGUAGCCAUCAGUUAAAGGGAUACUUCCAUUUUUUUGAAGUGGGGUUGUAGGAGUUGCAUGUCCCCCAUAGUUGUACUAGAAACAAUGGAUGCUGCUCAGCUUGGCCCCUUUAAUGAAAAACUGCCCGCAGAAACAGCACGCAAGCUAGACUACAAUUAACUGCAGAUGGGGCCUAUUCUGCCAUGUUGUUAAGCUCAUUUUGAAGGACUCCAACUCAUGAACUCAUCUCUGUUUAGGUGUACGCUCCACUUGGGAUUUUUUCAGCACCUCACUGUGCAAGAAAGCCCUUUCUGUUUUUGCACAGACGUGCUCUUUUGCAUGCAGUUCACUGAUCAGCUGUUCAGGUCUGCAGCCUCAAAGAGACAAAAAUACAACCAAACUAAAUAACGAGUGACUGACAGCACCGAUGAGAUGCCUUUUACUGCAGGCACACGUUUGCUCUCCAUACAGACUGUUUUUCUGUUGAUAUAUAAGACUGCAAACAAAAACCAGAACACUUCCAGUUUAGUCUCAGGCCUUCAGAUUAUCAUAAACAUAAUUCUUUAACGAUACAGUUCCAUGAAACCUAAUCCACCUCAAUCUCUGCUGCUGAAGACUGUGGUGUGUUUAGGAACGCUCUGGAUCAGGUGAGUUAAGUAGACCCUUAAGUGGAGACUGUUUAAACCACCUGCUGUUUGCAAGGUCAACACAGAACUGUCAUGCUUUAUUUACCAUCUCUUUCUCACACUUUAAUUGGUUGUGUUGUUCCAAGGUCACCAUAAGAUUUACAUUCAUCUGUGCACUUAUUGCAUCACUUUCAUUAAGUUCAAGGCAGUAUAUUAAUUCUAUUGUUUUUAAUAAUAGUAUUCUACGCUGUGUAGCAUAUGGCUCAUACUGUAUUUUGUUUUGAUGUGGUUUGAAAGUGGAAACUGUUUAUUUUAGAGGUCAAGCUUUUAUCACAGACAGAUUUAUUUGUUUGUUUACUUUGCAAGAACUUGACUUUUAAAAGAAACAAGACCAUGAAACAGACAUAAUUCUUAUUUGCUUUCAUGUAAUGUCCUCUAAAUUGAUCUCACAUUAAACAUUAAA